rnacentral:misc_RNA from 1 species
AUAACAGUUGUUACGUUACAUAACGACCGUUAUUUGAAACCAUGGUGACAUCUUUGAGAAAAUUAUAUAUAUAAGGUGAAUAUUGGCAAAUUUGAGUCAAAUAUACCAAUAUUGGCAAAAUAAAGUUGUUUGGAUCAAAAUAAUAAAAAGAUUUUAUCAAUGUUCGCUAUGCAAGAUAAGUUUCAUUCCCACAUUUAUGAAGCAUGUAUCGUCUACAACAUUUUAAAGGUAAUUUUAAAGAAAAGAACAUUGGGAUUUGUCCCCAAAAAUGUAUUCUAUGUACCAAUGUUUGUGUUAGAAUCCCUUAAUUAGUG